CCUACGGGUGGCAGCAGUGAGGAAUAUUGGUCAAUGGGCGCGAGCCUGAACCAGCCUAGUAGCGUGAAGGAUGACUGCCCUACGGGUUGUAAACUUCUUUUAUAAAGGAAUAAAGUGAGGCACGUGUGCCUUUUUGUAUGUAUUUUAUGAAUAAGGAUCGGCUAACUCCGUGCCAGCAGCCGCGGUAAUACGGAGGAUCCGAGCGUUAUCCGGAUUUAUUGGGUUUAAAGGGAGCGUAGAUGGGUUGUUAAGUCAGUGGUGAAAGUUUGCGGCUCAACCGUAAAAUUGCAAUUGAUACUGGCAGCCUUAGGUACAUUGGGGGAAGGCGGAAUUCGUGGGG
rnacentral:rRNA from 1 species